UAAGCAUAUCAAUAAGCGGAGGAAAAGAAACCAACAGGGAUUGCCCUAGUAACGGCGAGUGAAGCGGCAAAAGCUCAGAUUUGAAAUCUCUUUGCUUUGCAGAGCGAAUUGUAAUCUGUAGAACGUUGAAUGGGGCGCCUUUGCAAUUAAAUUCCCUGGAAUUGGAUAUCAGAGAGGGUGAGAAUCCCGUGAUAUUGCUAUUGGCAAACCACUUAAUUCACGUUUCGACGAGUCGAGUUGUUUGGGAAUGCAGCUCUAAAUGGGUGGUAAAUUUCAUCUAAAGCUAAAUACCUGCCAGAGACCGAUAGCGAACAAGUAGAGUGAUCGAAAGAUGAAAAGCACUUUGAAAAGAGAGUUAAACAGUACGUGAAAUUGUUGAAAGGGAAGCGCUUGCCAUUAGACUUGCUGGAUUCAUUCAGCUGGCUCUCGGGCCCAGCCUAUUUUGUUUCCAUCAGGCCAGCAUCAGUUUGGCGGGGAGUAUAAAUGCGGUUGGAAUGUAGUAACUGUCUAGGCAGUCAUGUUAUAGACUUCCGUAUCAUGCCCUCACACCAGACUGAGGUCUGCUCUUUUGAAAGGAUGCUGGCGUAAUGAUUGUAAGCGACCCGUCUUGAA
rnacentral:rRNA from 1 species